UGGGUUGUGGCUCAGAGGUACAGCACUCGCCUAGCAUGUGUGAGGCACUGGGUUUGAUCCUCAGCAUCACAU
rnacentral:tRNA from 1 species